rnacentral:tRNA from 1 species
GGGGCCAUAGCUCAGCUGGGAGAGCGCUUCGCUGGCAGCGAUGAGGUCAGGGGUUCGAUCCCCCUUGGCUCCACCA